rnacentral:rRNA from 1 species
AUGCAGCUCUUCAGUGAGCUCGACAAGAUGUGCUUGAAGAAAAGGGCCAUUGGAUUGUACAGGAAAAAUGGGAUGUUGUUCUUUGCUGCUUCACCUAGCCUUGCUGCUCAACCACGUUGCCCCUGGUAUUGUUGUUGUGGGUUGGUGCUGCUGCUGUUGCAGGGGCAGCAGGUGUGCCCAGUUUUCAGUGCACUGCAGUACCUGUUCAGGUUAGUCGUGUUCAGGUUAGUGCUUUGGGAGAAAUAUGUGUAUGUGUUCCAGGAUCCAGCCUCUGUUUCUGGUUAUUACAAGCUAGGUAGUAUUGUGGCAGUGAUCGGAAACUUCUACACGACUCAUCACCAUCAUGUCCAUGCCCCAGACUUGGGUGAGUGCUCAAGGAAGAAUUUUGUAGUUCCACUGUUGGAUUCCAAGCAGGCAAUUCAUGAUCAGCCUUGCGCAAGCUAUGGAGUUUCAAUAAAUCGAUUGACAGGUGGUUAUGUUGGUUUUAUCUUCCGGUUGGUUGUUAGUCCCCUACAAGAGUUGUCACAAUAUGAAAAGGCUCCAAAAGGUGUCACGGUCAGGAAUCUUUUUUCCAGGCAUCCGGUGAUGAUUAGUUCAUGUGCUGUAGGCAUCACCGUCAUUGCAAUUCCUAAAGAUGUGGAAUUCUCAUACUAA